UUUUUUUUCAUUUAUUGUGACUUUGGCGAAAGCCAUCAGCCAAAAAGUAACAAUUACAAGGUAACAAUAUAAAAUUACAAGACAAAUUACAAAAAUUAUUAUAGUUAUAAAUUAAUUAUAAUAUACUAAGAAAGUAAGUUAAGUAGAAAAGUAUAAGUUACAAUUACAUAUUUAAAUUUCACCAAUUGUUGAAGUAAUAUAAUUAAAAAUUUCUUGGUACAAAAUGGUAUGUUUUAGUAGAUCCUGCACUGAAGUAGGAAUAUUUUGACAUUUUAAUAAAUCUUGACAUUGACAAAUAAAAAGUAACCGUUGAAAUGAGAAUUUAGGACAAACAAAAAAAAAAUAUGAUCCAAAUCAGAAAAAAUGUUUUGGCAUUAUUUACAGAUAGAAUUAUCCAAUAAAUUAAUACGUUGCAAAUGUGCAGGAAAUUUACAAUGACCUAUCCGCAAUCUACUUAAUGAUCUAUAAUCAUGGGCACCGGCACAUAUGGAACAAACUUGCUUACUUCUGCAGGAACUGCUUCCAUGACCAAAUUUGUAACAAGUGAAGCAUUGGAGUAGAGGUCUAAUGAAUUCACGCACAUCCAGCCAAAUAUGAUCAUACGUUACGUGAUCAGGUCGCUGCGUAGAGAGGAAAGUUACUAAAACUGUAGGAAGAGGAUGAAAACUUCCAUCUUCUUUCUUUUUUUUGGAACGUUUAACACCGAUGAUUUCUACAGUAGAUUUUAAGUUAUUUAAGAGAUCUUCCUCAGAUAUUUCAGUAGGAGCUCUUAUAACUCCCUGAGAUUCCAGCUGAUUAUUGGGUAUCCUAGCCUGAAGUUUAUGUUUCUCUAAUAAAUCUUUAU